UACGUAGGGUGCGAGCGUUAAUCGGAAUUACUGGGCGUAAAGCGUGCGCAGGCGGUUUUGUAAGGCAGAUGUGAAAGCCCCGGGCUCAACCUGGGAAUGGCAUUUGGGACUGCAAGGCUUGAGUGCGGCAGAGGAGACUGGAAUUCCUGGUGUAGCAGUGAAAUGCGUAGAGAUGUGGAGGAACACCGAUGGCGAAGGCAGCCUCCUGGGCCGACACUGACGCUGAUGCACGAAAGCGUGGGGAGCAAACAGG
rnacentral:rRNA from 1 species